GUGUGUGUUCUGGAUCGAGCUCAGGGGCGACCAAGAAGGGUCAAGCCCUAAUCAACACAAUUUCAUCAAAUUGAAGGGGCAAAUCAAGUCCAAAUCAAAAUCCGAGUAUGAAUUAGUGAUCUCCAUUGAAAAAGGAGUCAUGAGUUUGACUCUGACAAGCUAGGUAGGAGCUUGGAAAUGAACGGGUCAAAUGGAUAGAAUUCAAGUAUGAAGCUCGCAAGGAUGCAAGGUAAGUAUAACUUACACUAGUCAUAUAUUUUAGAAUGUUCUUUUGUCGUAUUGACUACGAAUAAGACAAAUGGUAAUUUAGUCACACGUUGACAAUAAUCGUUAGUUUUAAAAGACGCUUUCCCGCGUAAGACAUAAAGAGCCGAAAGUGGUAAUAAACGGUUUAUAAAUAAAAUGAGCAUACGGUGUUAAAAGGAGCGAGUCAUGUAGAUGAGAUGAUAAUAAAUAUUAUCUCGCAAAGAUAAACGGUCAAUUCGGCCAAACGGGUCAAAAAGUGUAGACAUCACCUUUUGACUAUAUAGACUAAUGAUUCUUUUGUCGAGUCAUAUGCUUACAGGAAUAGAUAUCCAAUGGAUAUUCGCAUCGUUCUUAAUUAGCGAAUAUAAAGCAAGGUAUUAAAAUCGGGUCUAUUUGUUGAUCCGAGCCAGGUACGCUUAUUUAUGAUGUAUGUAAAAGUGCUAAUUUGGUCGAAUAAUUGGUGAUAGCCCUUCAUUGUAAAAGAAGGACCAAAAUCGACCAAAACACCCUUGUAGGCUAAAUUGAACAAACAACUCUUAGAGGUUGUUUGGAAAGGAGUCUUAUGAUUAAACAAAAGUUUAGAAUGAGUACGGGUAGGGAAAGAUGUAAUUCUUGGGCCAAAAGACUCCAUAUGAGUCUUUGCCGUAAAAUGAUAUUUCAAGAGGUAUAAAUUCGGAACACAUAGAUAUCUACUUUAAAUCCAACACACAUUUAGUUGUGAUGGAAGAGUACUAGAUAAGAGCUAUAGGUUACAACGUUGGAUUAGAAUGAAAGCGAAAUUGAGCUUAAAAGUGCUUAAAAUAUCCUUAACGGGUCAAAAUAAGCAUACUAGUGAAAACGGGUUUAAUUUGUGAACAAACCUAUGAUUAGAACCUAAUAUGGUAUAUCAUAAUGAUUUGAUGAAGUGUAUGAAAUAUAGGAAUCAAAUAAAUACGUUUGUUUGAUAAAAUGCAUAACCGGGUCAAAAUUUGGUAUAAAGGGUAAUAAGCCGAAGACUUAGAAGUCUUAAAUUUUGUUAAGCCGAAUGUCGGAUUUUAACUCCAAAUGAUGGAGAAGCGAAUUACAAACAUGUAGGAAGAAACGGUAGGCCAAACGGACAAGCGGUUUGAAAGAUACGGAAGAUUUCGUGUCAAAUUACGGCAAAAAUGGAAAACUGGAUGCAGGGUCCACCGUAAAUUACGGUGCCACCGUAAUUUAUGGUGGAGAUGAAAAGCCUUACGGUGGCCCCCUACUGGUUUACGGUAGGGGCAUGUAAAACCAGUGGCCACCGUAAAUUACGGUGCCACCGUAAUUUACGGUGGAGGUCAGGUUGAAAUUUUUGUUUUUGUUAUCAAUUGUUUCUCGGACUCGUUUAGACACGUUUUAAGUCUUGUAUGACUAAAGCAUUUCAUGUUUAUGAAAUGUAGGUACACCUUGGAUGCCGGAAGACGAUCAAGCUCAACGAAGGACCGAACACGAUAUAGAUACACGCUUCCGCACAUUGCCACGUUGUAAAUUUUAACAACGAACUCAAUUACGUUUGUUGGAUAACUUAUGAUUUGUAAAAGAUUUAAUAAAUCCGCAUUUUGUACAGUAUGUGUGGUCUUAACUACACAUCUAAUUGUGGUAUU
rnacentral:lncRNA from 1 species